GACGAACGCUGGCGGCGUGCCUAAUACAUGCAAGUCGAGCGGACGAAUCGAAAGCUUGCUUUUGAUUCGUUAGCGGCGGUCGGGUGCGUAACACGUGGGCAACCUGCCCUGUCGACGGGGAUAACACCGAGAAAUAGGUGCUAAUACCGGAUAACACGACAUGUCGCAUUACGUUUCCUUGAAAGUCGGCGCAAGCUGCCGUUACAGGCUGGGACCGCGGCGCAUUAGCUAGUUGGUGAGGUAACGGCCCACCAAGGCGACGAUACGUAGCCGACCUGACAGGGUGAUCGGCCACACUGGGACUGAGACACGGCCCAGACUCCUACGGGAGGCAGCAGUAGGGAAUCUUCCGCAAUGGACGAAAGUCUGACGGAGCAACGCCGCGUGAGCGAAGAAGGCCUUCGGGUCGUAAAGCUCUGUUGUUAGGGAAGAACAAGUAACGCAGUAACUGGCGUUACCGUGACGGUACCUAACGAGAAAGCCACGGCUAACUACGUG
rnacentral:rRNA from 1 species